AUGGCCUGGACUCUGUUCGUCCUCCUGUUCCUGUCUCACUGCACAGGUUCCCUGUCCCAGCCUGUGCUGACCCAGCCGCCCUCCCUCUCUGCAUCCCUGGGAACAACAGCCAGACUUACCUGCACCCUGAGCAGUGGCUUCAAUAUGCGGGGCUAACGUAUAUUCUGGUACCAGCAGAAGCCAGGGAGCCCUCCCCGGUAUCUGCUGAACUUCUACUCAGACUCAGAUAAGCACCAGGGCUCCGGGGUCCCCAGCCGCUUCUCUGGCUCCAAGGACACCUCGACCAAUGCAGGGAUCCUGCUCAUCUCUGGGCUCCAGCCUGAGGAUGAGGCUGACUACUACUGUAAAAUCUGGUACAGUGGUCUGGUCACAACCCUGGAGAGAGCUGCCCCCUAUCUCCUCAGUGUUGAUGGAACUUCUGGGAAAGGAGACCUCAGGAAACCAGAGGAAACAGAUAAGAGGAAAGAAAGCAGCCUCUCGCACUACCUGGCCAUGUGUCAACGUGGACUCAUCACUACUCUGGACUUGAUCCUCUUCUAA